rnacentral:lncRNA from 1 species
UGAUGAGUGCAUGUGCAUUUUUGAAAGUCGUAAAAAGGUAUGAUUUUUAUAAUGCCAUCUAAUUUAAUUCACUCAAAUUCCAAACAAUUUUGAACAAAGAUUGACUUCAGUAAAUAUCCAGGAUUAAGAAGUUACUUUAAAAAAUAAAGAAAACAAAACUAUGAAUUGGUAUCUGCUUGUUAUUAUUGCAUUGGAGGUACCUUUUUCAUUAAAUUAUUGCUUUUUCUUAUUGUAGAUAAUGAGGAUUUUGUCCCUUGUCUAUUAAGGGCUUGAACAGAAAAGACAGAAGAAAAUAUAAAAGUCAAGGCAUCCUGACUCAUGUAGUCAUUAUGGACACACAGUAAAAUAAAAUCAUUUUGAUAAGAUAUCUUGGAAAAGAAGAAAAGUUACUCCAAGCAUGAAUCUUGCAGUAUGUCUUGCAGUUAUCUUCUCAUGCAAAGAACAGCAAAAUAUACAAAGAAAGAACAUAUAUUUUCGUUGUCAUCUGGCCAGCUAGAUGUUGCUUUGCUGUUUCAUCCAUUGUUUUAUACUUCCGGCGUCAUGGCAUGUCCCAAAGCAAUUUUGAUUUCAACUUUAAUUGUCCCCGCGUUGCAAAAAGAGUUUUAUUUCUCACUGUCUGUUGAGAUCUGCUUGGCACCAAGUUUAAUAAUAGUGAUUCUAGACUCUCUACCACAGGAUUUACAAAGUGUCAUUCCGGAACUGCUGGCCAGUGAAAGCUGGAUCCAGAUUUCAGGAAUUUCUCUGUUGGAACUCUCCACUCUGAACAAAUAGCUGCAUUCAAGCUGCGAAGCAGAGAAGGCCAUCAAAGCUUUUCCAAUCUCUAUUGUAAAGCAUGCUACGUAAUUUGUGGGCUCGGUGCAAAGGGAAAAGGUGGGGCUUCUUGUUGAACAUUUAUCAAGAAUUUCAAGAUGGUGACGGCAGAACAUUAAAACAGGCACAGGCUCCUCUAAGCUCAGGGCCUUAUGUGAUGGCUCAUGUCACAUGUUCACCAAGACUAGGAUCUUAUAUUUUCAUGAAGGAAGACUCAUCUCAGCGGAUUUAAAGCCACUGCAUUGCCUGUUUAUGUGUGUGGCAACCCGGGAAAACAAUGUUCCAGUGUCAUUACCAACCCCUACACUGAUUCCUUUUACUUUCUAGCCUAUUAAACAUUUUACCUUAAAAAAAUAAUAACAAGCAACUGCCAUAACUAAGCAGGGAUGUCUGCAGCGUUCUACCACUAAUGCUGAUAUUGGAUUCUAAUUUAACAUGGUUUUAUUAUUUUUAAUUCUAAGUUGUUGGGUUUUUUUUAAGUCUUUCUUUUCCACAAAUGCGC